GACGAACUUUGGCGGCGUGCUUAACACAUGCAAGUCGAACGGAAAGGCCCUGCUUUUGUGGGGUGCUCGAGUGGCGAACGGGUGAGUAACACGUGAGUAACCUGCCCUUGACUUUGGGAUAACUUCAGGAAACUGGGGCUAAUACCGGAUAGGAGCUCCUGCUGCAUGGUGGGGGUUGGAAAGUUUCGGCGGUUGGGGAUGGACUCGCGGCUUAUCAGCUUGUUGGUGGGGUAGUGGCUUACCAAGGCUUUGACGGGUAGCCGGCCUGAGAGGGUGACCGGCCACAUUGGGACUGAGAUACGGCCCAGACUCCUACGGGAGGCAGCAGUGGGGAAUAUUGCACAAUGGGCGGAAGCCUGAUGCAGCAACGCCGCGUGCGGGAUGACGGCCUUCGGGUUGUAAACCGCUUUCGCCUGUGACGAAGCGUGAGUGACGGUAAUGGGUAAAGAAGCACCGGCUAACUACGUGCCAGCAGCCGCGGUGAUACGUAGGGUGCGAGCGUUGUCCGGAUUUAUUGGGCGUAAAGGGCUCGCAGGUGGUUGAUCGCGUCGGAAGUGUAAUCUUGGGGCUUAACCCUGAGCGUGCUUUCGAUACGGGUUGACUUGAGGAGGGUAGGGGAGAAUGGAAUUCCUGGUGGAGCGGUGGAAUGCGCAGAUAUCAGGAGGAACACCAGUGGCGAAGGCGGUUCUCUGGGCCUUUCCUGACGCUGAGGAGCGAAAGCGUGGGGAGCGAACAGGCUUAGAUACCCUGGUAGUCCACGCUGUAAACGGUGGGUACUAGGUGUGGGGUCCAUUCCACGGGUUCCGUGCCGUAGCUAACGCUUUAAGUACCCCGCCUGGGGAGUACGGCCGCAAGGCUAAAACUCAAAGGAAUUGACGGGGCCCCGCACAAGCGGCGGAGCAUGCGGAUUAAUUCGAUGCAACGCGUAGAACCUUACCUGGGUUUGACAUGGAUCGGGAGUGCUCAGAGAUGGGUGUGCCUCUUUUGGGGUCGGUUCACAGGUGGUGCAUGCCUGUCGUCAGCUCGUGUCGUGAGAUGUUGGGUUAAGUCCCGCAACGAGCGCAACCCUUGUUCACUGUUGCCAGCACGUUAUGGUGGGGACUCAGUGGAGACCGCCGGGGUCAACUCGGAGGAAGGUGGGGAUGACGUCAAGUCAUCAUGCCCCUUAUGUCCAGGGCUUCACGCAUGCUACAAUGGCUGGUACAGAGAGUGGCGAGCCUGUGAGGGUGAGCGAAUCUCGGAAAGCCGGUCUCAGUUCGGAUUGGGGUCUGCAACUCGACCUCAUGAAGUCGGAGUCGCUAGUAAUCGCAGAUCAGCAACGCUGCGGUGAAUACGUUCCCGGGGCU
rnacentral:rRNA from 1 species